AAGUAGAAAAGGGCGUAUGGGGAAUGCCUAGGCUCUCAGAGGCGAUGAAGGACGUGAUAAGCUGCGAUAAGCUGCGGGGAUUGGCACAUACGAUGUAAUCCGCAGAUUUCCGAAUGAGACAACUCGGCAUGUUGAAGACAUGUCAUCCAGCAAUGGAGGCGAACGCAGGGAACUGAAACAUCUAAGUACCUGUAGGAAGAGAAAACAAUUAGUGAUUCCGUUAGUAGUGGCGAGCGAACGCGGAACAGCCCAAACCAUAUUAGUUACGGCUAGUGUGGGGUUGUAGGACUGCGAUAUCUGUUGCUUAACGAAGUAGAAUGUGUUGGAAAGCACAGCCAUAGGGGGUGAAAGUCCUGUAUACGUAAGUUUAAGUUAAUGGUAGCAGUAUCCUGAGUAGCGCGGGACACGAGAAAUCCUGUGUGAAUCUGUCAGAACCAUCUGAUAAGGCUAAAUACUCCUAGAAGACCGAUAGUGCACUAGUACCGUGAGGGAAAGGUGAAAA
rnacentral:rRNA from 1 species